CCGGCUCAGGAUGAACGCUAGCUACAGGCUUAACACAUGCAAGUCGAGGGGCAGCAUGGUCUUAGCUUGCUAAGGCCGGUGGCGACCGGCGCACGGGUGAGUAACACGUAUCCAACCUGCCGUCUACUCUUGGACAGCCUUCUGAAAGGAAGAUUAAUACAAGAUGGCAUCAUGAGUCCGCAUGUUCACAUGAUUAAAGGUAUUCCGGUAGACGAUGGGGAUGCGUUCCAUUAGAUAGUAGGCGGGGUAACGGCCCACCUAGUCUUCGAUGGAUAGGGGUUCUGAGAGGAAGGUCCCCCACAUUGGAACUGAGACACGGUCCAAACUCCUACGGGAGGCAGCAGUGAGGAAUAUUGGUCAAUGGGCGAGAGCCUGAACCAGCCAAGUAGCGUGAAGGAUGACUGCCCUAUGGGUUGUAAACUUCUUUUAUAAAGGAAUAAAGUCGGGUAUGGAUACCCGUUUGCAUGUACUUUAUGAAUAAGGAUCGGCUAACUCCGUGCCAGCAGCCGCGGUAAUACGGAGGAUCCGAGCGUUAUCCGGAUUUAUUGGGUUUAAAGGGAGCGUAGAUGGAUGUUUAAGUCAGUUGUGAAAGUUUGCGGCUCAACCGUAAAAUUGCAGUUGAUACUGGAUAUCUUGAGUGCAGUUGAGGCAGGCGGAAUUCGUGGUGUAGCGGUGAAAUGCUUAGAUAUCACGAAGAACUCCGAUUGCGAAGGCAGCCUGCUAAGCUGCAACUGACAUUGAGGCUCGAAAGUGUGGGUAUCAAACAGGAUUAGAUACCCUGGUAGUCCACACGGUAAACGAUGAAUACUCGCUGUUUGCGAUAUACAGCAAGCGGCCAAGCGAAAGCGUUAAGUAUUCCACCUGGGGAGUACGCCGGCAACGGUGAAACUCAAAGGAAUUGACGGGGGCCCGCACAAGCGGAGGAACAUGUGGUUUAAUUCGAUGAUACGCGAGGAACCUUACCCGGGCUUAAAUUGCAGAUGAAUUACGGUGAAAGCCGUAAGCCGCAAGGCAUCUGUGAAGGUGCUGCAUGGUUGUCGUCAGCUCGUGCCGUGAGGUGUCGGCUUAAGUGCCAUAACGAGCGCAACCCUUGUUGUCAGUUACUAACAGGUUCCGCUGAGGACUCUGACAAGACUGCCAUCGUAAGAUGUGAGGAAGGUGGGGAUGACGUCAAAUCAGCACGGCCCUUACGUCCGGGGCUACACACGUGUUACAAUGGGGGGUACAGAGGGCCGCUACCACGCGAGUGGAUGCCAAUCCCCAAAACCUCUCUCAGUUCGGACUGGAGUCUGCAACCCGACUCCACGAAGCUGGAUUCGCUAGUAAUCGCGCAUCAGCCACGGCGCGGUGAAUACGUUCCCGGGCCUUGUACACACCGCC
rnacentral:rRNA from 1 species